GCUCAGUACGGCGAGUGAGCGGCAACAGCUCAAAUUUGAAAGCUAGCCUUCGGGUUCGCAUUGUAAUUUGUAGAGGAUGCUUUGGGUAAAACGCCAGUCUAAGUUCCUUGGAACAGGACGUCAUAGAGGGUGAGAAUCCCGUAUGUGACUGGAAAUGUUAACCUAUGUAAAGCUCCUUCGACGAGUCGAGUUGUUUGGGAAUGCAGCUCUAAAUGGGAGGUAAAUUUCUUCUAAAGCUAAAUAUUGGCGAGAGACCGAUAGCGCACAAGUAGAGUGAUCGAAAGAUGAAAAGCACUUUGGAAAGAGAGUUAAAAAGCACGUGAAAUUGUUGAAAGGGAAGCGCUUGCAAUCAGACUUGUUUAAACUGUUCGGCCGGUCUUCUGACCGGUUUACUCAGUUUGGACAGGCCAGCAUCAGUUUCGGCGGCCGGAUAAAGGCUCUGGGAAUGUGGCCUCCACUUCGGUGGAGGUGUUAUAGCCCAGUGUGUAAUACGGCCAGCCGGGACUGAGGUCCGCGCUUCGGCUAGGAUGCUGGCGUAAUGGUUGUAAGCGACCCGUCU
rnacentral:rRNA from 1 species